GAUGAAGAACGUAGCGAAAUGCGAUACGUAGUGUGAAUUGCAGAAUUCAGUGAAUCAUCGAAUCUUUGAACGCACAUUGCACCUCUCGGUAUUCCGGGAGGUAUGCCUGUUCGAGCGUCAUUUGUACCCUCAAGCUCUGCUUGGUGUUGGGUAUUUGUUCCGCCUCUGUGUGUGAACUCGCCUCAAAACAAUUGGCAGCCGGCGUACUUGUUUCGGAGCGCAGCACAUUUUGCGAUCCAGAUCAACGUACAGCGGCAUCCAAGAAGCCUUAUUUAACGCUCUUGACCUCGGAUCAGGUAGGGAUACCCGCUGAACUUAAGCAUAUCAAUAAGCGGAGGA
rnacentral:misc_RNA from 1 species